AUUGAACGCUGGCGGCAUGCCUUACACAUGCAAGUCGAACGGCAGCACGGGAGCAAUCCUGGUGGCGAGUGGCGAACGGGUGAGUAAAGUAUCGGAACGUGCCCAGUCGUGGGGGAUAACGUAGCGAAAGUUACGCUAAUACCGCAUACGAUCUAUGGAUGAAAGCGGGGGAUCGCAAGACCUCGCGCGAUUGGAGCGGCCGAUAUCAGAUUAGGUAGUUGGUGGGGUAAAGGCUCACCAAGCCGACGAUCUGUAGCUGGUCUGAGAGGACGACCAGCCACACUGGGACUGAGACACGGCCCAGACUCCUACGGGGGGCAGCAGUGGGGAAUUUUGGACAAUGGGCGAAAGCCUGAUCCAGCCAUGCCGCGUGCAGGAUGAAGGCCUUCGGGUUGUAAACUGCUUUUGUACGGAACGAAAAGGUUUGGCCUAAUAAGCUGAGCUCAUGACGGUACCGUAAGAAUAAGCACCGGCUAACUACGUGCCAGCCGCCGCUGUAAUAC
rnacentral:rRNA from 1 species